AAUGUCUUGGAGAUCAAUGGGCACCAAGUGUUCGACGAAAUGUCUGUGUAAAAUAGGGAGGAGCCGAGAGUGGACUAACUCGUGGAGGGACUCCACAGUGAGUUGUCGGAACUUUGCUGAAUGGAAUUCGAUGCUGGUUGUCUUCCUCUGCUUGUGCCAAAUCUCGCCGUCCGCGUUGAAGAUUCCGUCGCCGAGAAGGUCAUGGACUGUUUCACGGAAGAAGGAGCCUUUUGGGUACUUGAGAAACUCUGUUUUCAGAAUGUGCUCAAUGUUACGAGGAUCUGAAGUUACAACCCAAUUCAAGCUACUGAACCAUGGCCCUUUGAAUCUGAAAGUUCCAUUUUGACGGCAUAGCACUUCGGUGAUCCAUUCAUACAAGUUGCUUCGGAGUCCAGUGACUAAAGACGGUAACAUUCCGACAACUGGCCACACAGAAGAGAUUCCAUGCAACCAAUCUCUGAGAUGGGAAUUCACCGGAGGAGAUAGGGGUGAGGUUUCCGGAGCUCAACAUGGUGAUGGGCUAACGCUAACAGAGAAAGGGUGCAAAAACGCACAUGAGAAAUACCUACUCUUUAAGUUAUCGUAUGGAUCUAAGAUUGGACAAUUUAAGAGCGAGUGGAAGGCAAAGUGUUGGCAGAAAGGAAAUAAGAGAAAAGGGCGAGAGAUUGCUGAGGAGCAAAUACAGGGACUUGAUGGCCUGCCCCUCUCACAGUAGCCAAUAUGAGCCCUCCUUUGUAGGUUUCAACCCAACCGGCUACUUCUUGUUUGUGGUACCAUGCCCUCCACUCUUCUUCAAUUUCUAACUCCAUCUUGUUUAUGCUAUAUCUGGUUGAUGUUAUCGGUACUCGUCCAUCCGUAUCUCCACUGUAUAAUGAUCAUUAUUAUAGGGUCGUCAGUUUAGAAUACCUUAUAAUUUAAAAACUUUUGAAAACGUUAUUAUCAUUUUCAUUCUUCUAAUAGAAGAAUGUGUUCUAUCAAUUCAAGCAUAGAAUAGUGAAAUUAAUAAGACAACUACUAGGUGUGAAGAUUUCAAUCCUCUACUUCUAUGGUUGCUCAAACAAAAAAUAUAUAUACUUUUUUCAUCUUAA